UGUCACGCCCCGGGACCGGCGGAGGCCCUCCCGGUAGCGUGCCCAGACCCGCCAUAUGUCUACACAUAUAAGGCGUCUACAAGAAGCGGAAGUAAAAGCAAGAAAUGGAACAAAUAAAAGAAGUGAAAUAACAAGCAACUAAUGAUAUCAGAGUGAGUAAAGUUCUAACAUCUACACCAAGGUAAGGAAGUAAAGCUAGACAAUAAAAAGAGUCAUANCGGUACAAGCACAGCCUUGUACCGGUACAAGCCCGCCAGACAGCCAAUCCGAGAGCUGACCAAAAUCCAAAUUUUUGGGUUUUGGUGCAAGGCCUCGUACCACACUCCUCGGGACACGUGCCAUAGGUCGGAACACAGUCAACGAUCUACCAGCAAGUCUGGAAAAGCUCAGAACACAUCCAAUCACUCGAACCUCGCAAUUUGCAAAGGUCCAGUGUGUUACACUAAAUGCACAAUUUAUGGAGAUAAAAAUAAAAAGAAUUUAUUUUUUGAAGUUCCGAUGACAGAAAAUAAAGUUUUUCCUGUUCAUGUUACAAUGAAAGUAGUGCUAGAUGAUGAUUGGUG
rnacentral:lncRNA from 1 species